GAUGAACGCUAGCGGCAGGCCUAACACAUGCAAGUCGAACGGUAACAUAAUCAGCUUGCUGAUUGAUGACGAGUGGCGCACGGGUGCGUAACGCGUAUGCAACCUACCUUCAACUGGAGGAUAGCCCGAAGAAAUUCGGAUUAAUACUCCAUAACAUAUGUCUUUCGCAUGUUAGACAUAUUAAAGUUUCGGCGGUUGAAGAUGGGCA
rnacentral:rRNA from 1 species